GACGACGCUGGCGGCGUGGAUUAGGCAUGCAAGUCGAACGGUAUCAUCCUUUCGGGGGUGAGAGAGUGGCGAACUGGUGAGUAACACGUAGGUUAUCUACCUCAAGACGGGGACAACCCAGGGAAACUUGGGCUAAUACCGGAUGUGAGCAACUUUUAGUUGUUUGAAAGGUGGCGUAAGCUGUCGCUUGGGGAUGAGCCUGCGUCCUAUUAGUUAGUUGGUGAGGUAACGGCUCACCUAGGCAAUGAUAGGUAGGCGGCCUUAACGGGUGGUCGCCCACACUGGGAUUGAGAUACGGCCCAGACUCCUACGGGAGGCAGCAGUCGAGAAUAGUCUACAAUGGUCGGAAGACUGAUAGUGCGACGCCGCGUGAACGAUGAAUCCCUUCGGGGUGUAAAGUUCUUUUAUAUGUGAGCAGUGCUUCUUAUAUUAAACAGUAUGGGGAGAGAGAUAUUAGCAUAUGAAUAAGCAACGGCUAACUCCGUG
rnacentral:rRNA from 1 species